CACUGGUACUGAGACACGGACCAGACUCCUACGGGAGGCAGCAGUGAGGAAUAUUGGUCAAUGGGCGCGAGCCUGAACCAGCCAAGUCGCGUGAGGGAUGACGGUCCUACGGAUUGUAAACCUCUUUUGCCGGGGAGCAAGCGUGCGUUCGUGAACGCGCGUCGAGAGUACCCGGAGAAAAAGCAUCGGCUAACUCCGUGCCAGCAGCCGCGGUAAUACGGAGGAUGCGAGCGUUAUCCGGAUUUAUUGGGUUUAAAGGGUGCGUAGGCGGGAUGCCAAGUCAGCGGUAAAAAUGCGGUGCUCAACGCCGUCGAGCCGUUGAAACUGGCGUUCUUGAGUGGGCGAGAAGUAUGCGGAAUGCGUGGUGUAGCGGUGAAAUGCAUAGAUAUCACGCAGAACUCCGAUUGCGAAGGCAGCAUACCGGCGCCCUACUGACGCUGAGGCACGAAAGCGUGGGUAUCGAACAGGAUUAGAUACCCUGGUAGUCCACGCAGUAAACGAUGAAUGC
rnacentral:rRNA from 1 species